rnacentral:snRNA from 1 species
CUAUCUGCACUCUAUGGUAGAGAGAGAAAUAUUGGAGGAGAUUAGCGUGGCCCCUGCGCAAGGAUGACACACAAAUUCGUGAAGCAGUCCAUAUUUUU